rnacentral:rRNA from 1 species
GUGAGGAAUAUUGGUCAAUGGGCGGGAGCCUGAACCAGCCAAGUCGCGUGAAGGAAGAAGGAUCUAUGGUUCGUAAACUUCUUUUGCAGGGGAAUAAAGUGCGGGACGUGUCCUGUUUUGUAUGUACCCUGAGAAUAAGGAUCGGCUAACUCCGUGCCAGCAGCCGCGGUAAUACGGAGGAUCCGAGCGUUAUCCGGAUUUAUUGGGUUUAAAGGGUGCGUAGGUGGUUUGAUAAGUCAGCGGUGAAAGUUUGCAGCUUAACUGUAAAAAUGCCGUUGAAACUGUCGGACUUGAGUGUAAAUGAGGUAGGCGGAAUGCGUGGUGUAGCGGUGAAAUGCAUAGAUAUCACGCAGAACUCCGAUUGCGAAGGCAGCUUACUAAGCUACAACUGACACUGAAGCACGAAAGCGUGGGGAUCAAACAGGAUUAGAAACCCGUGUAGUCC